CACACCGCCCGUCACACCAUGGAGUCGAUUGCUCCAGAAGUGGCUGCGCCAACCCGCAAGGAGGUAGGCCCCAAGGAGUGAUCGGUAACUGGGUG
rnacentral:rRNA from 1 species